GGAAAUGAGCGGAUUUCAUCAAUCUGUCGACUAUUACCCAUAUGGUGUCCAAUNCGACUAUUACAUAUGGUGUCCAAUCCAUCUGUUGACUUGGGUAAUUUGGUCACAAAGUCCAUAGUAAUCCUUUCCCAUUCCCCACUCGGGAAUUACUGGUUGCUGUAAUAAUCCCGAGGGCUUCUGAUAUUCCACCUUCACUUUAGCGCAAGUAAGGCAUUUGCUAACAUAGGUGGCAAUCUCUGCCUUCAUGUUGGGCCACCAAUAAUGUUGAUUAAUGUCCAAG
rnacentral:lncRNA from 1 species